ACCCAGCUAGCUCAAUCAUUAGAGCAUGUGAUUCUUGAUCACAGAGUUGUGAGUUUGAGCUCCAUGUUGGGUG
rnacentral:tRNA from 1 species